AACGAACGCCCUUAUGAUGAUAGAAUGCAAGUCGAACGAAGGCUUCGGAGUGAUAGUACCUUAGUGGCGCAGUAACACGUCCAGUAGUAGUAUUUCGGUUCGGAAUAACGUUUGGACCAGUGAUAGUAGACCGGAUACGCCUAUGCCAGUAGUAGAACCCAGUGACAUUAGAUCACCCGCGUCGGAUUCCAGUAGUAGGUAAUGGCUCACCACCAGUGACAGUAAUCCGUAGCUGGUCUGAGAGGCCAGUGACAGUAGAUAGCCGACACGGCCCAGACUCCCCAGUGACGUCAGCACCAGUGACCCAGUACAAUGGGCGCAAGCCUGAUCCAGCAAUGCCCAGUAGGUGAUGAAGGCCUUACCAGUAGUAUCUUUCCCAGCACGCGACGAUGAUGACGGCCAGUAUUACAGAAGCCCCGGCUAACUUCGUGCCAGCACCAGUAGUAGGGGGCUAGCGUUGUUCGCCCAUGGUGUGACCAGUACGUAAAGGGCGCGUAGGCGGCCCGUUUAGUCAGAAGUGAAAGCCAGUGACAGAACCUGGGAACAGCUUUUGAUACUGGCGGGCUUGCCAGUAGCAGGGAGAGGAUGGUGGAAUUCCCAGUGUAGAGGUGAAACCAGUAGUAAGAAUGGCACCGGUGCCAGUGGCCAUGAUAACUGGACGGACACAGUGCCGAUGAGGCGCGAAAGCGUGGGGAGCAAAAUUAGAUACCCUGGUAGUCCACAACGUAAACGAUGAAUGCUAGACGUCCCAGUAGGACAGUAUCGGUGUCACCCGUACACGAUAGUACAUUCCGCCUGGGGAGUACGGCCGCAAGCCAGUAGCUCAAAGGAAUUGACGGGGGCCCGCACAAGCGCCAGUAGUUGUGGUUUAAUUCGAAGCAACGCGCAGAACCCCAGUAGACAGUAACAUGUCCAUUUCCAACCAGUGCAAGUGGGUUUUUCACUUCGGCCAGUAGUAGUACAGGUGCUGCAUGGCUGUCGUCAGCUCGUGUCGUGAGCCAGUAGUAGCAGUCCCGCCCAUUAUCGAUGAUAUACCGUCAGUUGCCAUCAUUCAGUCCAGUAGUAGUAGUAGGUGGAACCGCCGGUCCAUUAGUAAGGCGCCAGUGAUAAAGUCCUCCCAUGGCCCCCAGAGUAGUGGCUACACACGCCAGUAGUGCUACAAUGGCGCCAGUGAUAGUAGAAGCCGCGAGAGCCAGUAUAGAUAAGCCGUCUCAGUUCGGAUCGUACCAGUAGUAGUGCGUGCCAUAAGUUGGAAUCGCUAGUCCAGUAGUAAGCACGCCCCAGAUGAGCCAGUAGCGUUCCCGGGCCUUGUACCCAGCAGGGACCAGAUGGCCAGUAGGUAGAUGCUUUACCCGAAGGUGGUGCGCCAGUGACCCUGAGCCAACCACGGUAAGGUCAGCGACCAGUAGUGUG
rnacentral:rRNA from 1 species